AGGAAGGUGGCUCAGUGGUAGAGUGCUUGCCUUGCAUGCAUGAGGCCCUGGGUUCGAUUCCUCCGCACUA
rnacentral:tRNA from 1 species